AUGUGAUACCUUGUGAACGGAAGAGUAUUCGUCUUUUCUUUAUGCUGAUGCAGGUUUAUUUUUGUUGUCGAAGUGAACAGACGCCAGCCUCCAGAGGAUCAGGAGUCCGGGAGGCGAGCCAGCAGCGACGGCUAACAGAAAGGCAUUUGUUUCUCAUUUUGGCCUCGCGGAGAAGCUUCAAUGACCGCGACUCUCUUUUCUCCGGUUACACAGCUCAGUCCUGUUUUUGUUUCGUGCCAGAGAGAUGAAUGCUUUGAGCUCUAACACACACAAAAACUCAAAACCCAGGAGUUAACCGUUCCUUAAGAGUGGGGAGAAGCAGGGGGAGGGAGGCACUGAGACUUGGAUGAGUUGGGAGGUCUGUCACAUUGACUGAAAGCUUACGGUUUACGGCUGAAGCCUUUCCAGCCCAUCUUGGAUGUGCCAAGUGUAAUUCUUGGACUUUGUUUGGUCUGCAGAGAUUUAUUAAAGAAAAAAGGGAAAAAGGAAAAAUCUGAUUUGUGCAGCGACUGAUAGUUCUGGUUGCUGGCAGGCAGAACGUGAGAUUCUUUUCCUUCAUCGCUGGGACGCUCUUCAGUCUCCAGUCCUUUGGCGAUGAAUGUGUGCUAAUCCCAGGGCAGGCUAAUGAGGACAACACAUCAGAGCUGCGAGACUGCAGUAAUGAUGGAACAGAGCUGGACAUGAAGGGAAGCCACAGAAGAAGGACACAUAAAGGAUAUCAAAGAUUAGAGACGUUAAAGUGGCGAAG